rnacentral:tRNA from 1 species
GGCUCCAUAGCUCAGUGGUUAGAGCACUUGUCUUGUAAACCAGUUCAAUUCUCGAUGGGGCCU